UCCCUGGUGGUCCAGUGGUUAGGACUUGGCGCUUUCACUGCCAUGGCCGAGGUUCGAUCCCUGGUCAGGGAA
rnacentral:tRNA from 1 species